GGUCCGAUUGUAGACGCGAAGCGGCGGCAGCAGCGCAACAUCAGAGCUUCCUGUGACAUCACCCGGACCCGCCCGCGGCCAGCCUGCCCUCACUUUUCUCUCCCGAACGGCAUGUCCCAGUGCGUUGGGUGCCUCAGACAUUGCUAGGCAGCAGCUGGGAGCUGCACCCCUACUGCCGCUUGCCAUCGGCUCUCCGACAGCAUUGCUCCUGCCCGCCUCUUGCCCCAGGCCGGCGGCAGUUCCUCCGCCACCAGUAACGGCCAGUGCUCUGAAACCAGUCGGGAAAUUCUGUACUGGGAAACGAAGGAGACCGUGGUACCUCUCUUGUCACCUAUCGAGCCACUGAGAUUCCUUCUCCUCCAGAUAGAGGCAGAGAGCGUUUGGACCGUUACUCAGAGACCAUUUACCACAGCGGCGGCCCUCCCUAACCUAAUGGGCUCGACCCACCUGUGGCCGGGGCUCAGGGGGAGCGCUGUGUCCCGUUCUGUGAAUGCUGAAGAGCUCCACGGAGAAACACUUCUAUUCAAAUAUAAAACUACCUUAAAGGCAGAAGAACCUGGGCUCUCCACAUCAAGAGACGGUUGCUGUGUGCAUGUGGCAAUACUAUGCUGAACAAAAGAGGAGUUCAUGGAGCAUCAAACUAGCACCUGUAAGACCAGUACUCCUCAUGGAAGGACAUAAGGACCUCACAAAGACUGUGAUCUUAUAAGUGCUCAUCAAAAUUGUAACCACUGAAUUUGCUCAUGAAACAAAAUAAAAAUGUUUUGCUUCCUUCUCUCUA